rnacentral:rRNA from 1 species
AGAGUUUGAUCCUGGCUCAGAUUGAACGCUGGCGGAAUGCUUUACACAUGCAAGUCGAGCGGCAGCGCGGGGGCAACCCUGGCGGCGAGCGGCGAACGGGUGAGUAAUAUAUCGGAACGUACCCCGUCGUGGGGGAUAACACAGCGAAAGCUGUGCUAAUACCGCAUACGACCUGAGGGUGAAAGCGGGGGAUCGCAAGACCUCGCGCGAUGGGAGCGGCCGAUAUCGGAUUAGCUUGUUGGUGAGGUAAAGGCUCACCAAGGCGACGAUCCGUAGCUGGUCUGAGAGGACGACCAGCCACACUGGAACUGAGACACGGUCCAGACUCCUACGGGAGGCAGCAGUGGGGAAUUUUGGACAAUGGGGGCAACCCUGAUCCAGCCAUUCCGCGUGAGUGAAGAAGGCCUUCGGGUUGUAAAGCUCUUUCAGCAGGAACGAAACGGUGGCCACUAAUACUGGCUACUAAUGACGGUACCUGAAGAAGAAGCACCGGCUAACUACGUGCCAGCAGCCGCGGUAAUACGUAGGGUGCGAGCGUUAAUCGGAAUUACUGGGCGUAAAGCGUGCGCAGGCGGUUCCAUAAGACAGAUGUGAAAUCCCCGGGCUUAACCUGGGAACUGCGUU